rnacentral:misc_RNA from 1 species
UUUCCGUAGGUGAACCUGCGGAAGGAUCAUUACUGAGUGAGGGCCCCUCGGGGUCCAACCUCCCACCCGUGUUUAACGAACCUUGUUGCUUCGGCGGGCCCGCCUCACGGCCGCCGGGGGCAUCUGCCCCCGGGCCCGCGCCCGCCGAAGCCACCUGUGAACGCUGUCUGAAGUAUGCAGUCUGAGACAAUUAUUAAAUUAAUUAAAACUUUCAACAACGGAUCUCUUGGUUCCG